AGUGAACGCUGGCGGUAGGCCUAACACAUGCAAGUCGAACGGCAGCACAGUAAGAGCUUGCUCUUACGGGUGGCGAGUGGCGGACGGGUGAGGAAUACAUCGGAAUCUACUUUUUCGUGGGGGAUAACGUAGGGAAACUUACGCUAAUACCGCAUACGACCUACGGGUGAAAGCAGGGGAUCUUCGUACCUUGCGCGAUUGAAUGAGCCGAUGUCGGAUUAGCUAGUUGGCGGGGUAAAGGCCCACCAAGGCGACGAUCCGUAGCUGGUCUGAGAGGAUGAUCAGCCACACUGGAACUGAGACACGGUCCAGACUCCUACGGGAGGAAGCGGUGGGGAAUAUUGGACAAUGGGCGCAAGCCUGAUCCAGCCAUACCGCGUGGGUGAAGAAGGCCUUCGGGUUGUAAAGCCCUUUUGUUGGGAAAGAAAAGCGGCAGGUUAAUACCCCGCUGUUCUGACGGUACCCAAAGAAUAAGCACCGGCUAAAUUCGUG
rnacentral:rRNA from 1 species